rnacentral:rRNA from 1 species
UACGUAUGGUGCAAGCGUUAUCCGGAUUUACUGGGUGUAAAGGGAGCGUAGACGGCUGUGUAAGUCUGAUGUGAAAACCCGGGGCUCAACCCCGGGACUGCAUUGGAAACUAUGCAGCUAGAGUGUCGGAGAGGUAAGCGGAAUUCCUAGUGUAGCGGUGAAAUGCGUAGAUAUUAGGAGGAACACCAGUGGCGAAGGCGGCUUACUGGACGAUAACUGACGUUGAGGCUCGAAAGCGUGGGGAGCAAACAGG